AUGAAACCCAUCUUCUCCAAGUGACACCAGGCAUUCCAGAAUAGCCCUGAGGUUAAAGUGACACCGAAUUUUUUUUUCCGUCUUAACUUUUCUUCAAGUCUUUGGAAAAGUGCCAUACUUGGAAAUGUUCUAUAGAAAAGCCCAAUGACGAGGAACCAAGGGAAGCCUCCAGCCACCAGGGCCCUGGUCCAACAGUCAGAGAGGAAUGAAAUCCUGCCAACAAUGACGACACUGAUCUUGAAAGGGAUUCCUUCCAGCCAAGCCUUGAAAUGACUGCCUCCUGGCUGACACCUUGAUUGCGGCACUGUGGAAAAAAACUGAGGCAGAUGUCAAAAUGGGGCACUGGCUUCCUCAGAGGAGCUAACACCACCCCUGCCUAUCUCACCCAAGAUAUUGUUUGUAAAACCAAUUUUGGUUCUCUCCAAAGAAGUAUAUAAACCAUAUGAGAAUUUGU